rnacentral:lncRNA from 1 species
GUCAGAUGACUUUCCAACUCUAUGCGGCUCUUGCCUGUCCCUCCAUCCCUGCUGCGGUGAACCUCUCAUCUGAGCCUCCCCAACAGUUUGUGCAAAGACUCCACUUAACGUUGGUCUGUUGACUGUCACGGGCAUCUGUGAGCCUCCUGUGCCUUCUUGUUUAACAACGAUCUCAGCUUGUGGCGAGGGAGUGGUGAUGGCACAGGGUAGAGCUGCCAGAGGGGUCAGCUUGGCCUGGGUUCGGGCUCAGGAGUGCCAGCUUCCUCGAGGAGUGGGAGGUCGGUCAUGCAAGGGAGAGCGUUGAGCCCAGGCCCCAGGAUAACUGAGACUGUUUGGAGGUGGUGUCCCCAACCCUCGCUUACGUGGGCGGGUCUCAGCGGGGCGAGGCUUAGCUUGCCUGCUGAGCCCUGCAAAUGCAGGUGAGGCGGCUCAAGCGUUUCCACCUGGACUGGCGUGGCGCUCAGGCCUCUGCGUCUCUCUCUUCCCGUGUAUGCAGAGUCAGCUGCCCUGCCCUCGCCUGUGAUUCUAAAAUCAACACAACCAAAUCCACACUCGUCGCUGGCUUUCCCUGCCCUGCUGUGGAGCACAUGAACCCGGGGACGCAUUCGGCUUUCCUUUGAUAGGGGAAGGCAGCCCAAACAGCACCCAGACCAAGAGCCUGGAUCAGGGAUCCUGCUGCCUGAGACUUUCUAACUAGGCCAAGAAAUGAGGACACUGAACUACUUCUUCUUGAGAUGACGGAAUCUUGACCAGACCAGAGGGAGUGAGGUCUAUCUAUCCCACGAAGAAACUGAGAUGCAGCUUAUGAAAUAGAGGCUGACAAUGGCUCACCCACCUCCUUUGUAAGAGCCUGGUGUGUGCUACAGGAGCAUGGCCCAUAUACGUGUCAGGUUGAAGGACAACUCAGGAGCUGUCCAAGGCUCAACUUGGCCCCACUUGCCCCAUCUGGCAGCCUGGACCGAGCAUUGUUCAUUGAGUCCCACACCCACAUGGCCCCAGAGUCAAACCGCCUUUCAUGCUGAAGAAUGGAACUGACACUCCCAGCAACAUCUCCCCCAACCAUGCCCAUCUGUUAAUCCAACUUAAAAAGAAGGAAAAAAAAAUGACAAUGGAAAUGGAAAUACUUUAAAACAUUGUGUGUGUUUUGUGUGUGUGUGUGUGUGAUCAAAUCUCUUUCCCUGAAAUAUGACAAAGCAUUGCCAUCCCUUCUCCAAUAUCCUCUAUCCAUUAAUGGUCUUUCUGAUUCAAUAAACAGGAUUUCAGGCUCUGCCCCCUCCCUCUUUUCCACCCCUACUCCAGGAGAACAUGGGCUGCUUCCAGUAUAGCUCAUAUUAAGCUGUGCAGUUGAUGGAUCUUUAAUCUUGCUGAACACAUGUUGAGG